rfam:Triticum aestivum genome assembly, contig: Triticum_aestivum_CS42_TGACv1_scaffold_131118_2BL
UUAGUACUCCCUCCGUUCGAAAAUACUUGUCAUCAAAAUGAAUAAAAAAAGAUGUAUCAAUGGAUAAAAAGGGAUGUAUCUAGAACUAAAAUAGUUCUAGAUACAUUUUUUUAAUCCAUUUUGAUGACAAGUAUUUUCGGACGGAGGAAGUAAUAA